UCGAGGGGCAGCGGGUAGAUGAGCUUGCUCAUUUAUGCCGGCGACCGGCUCACGGGUGAGUAACACGUAUGCAACCUGCCCGUCUCAGGGGGAUAAUCGUCGGAAACGGCGUCUAAUACCCCGUAUGAAGCUGGACGGCAUCGUCUGGUUUUGAAAGAAUAUCGGAGACGGAUGGGCAUGCGGCGCAUUAGCUGGUUGGCGGGGUAACGGCCCACCAAGGCGACGAUGCGUAGGGGUUCUGAGAGGAAGGUCCCCCACACUGGUACUGAGACACGGACCAGACUCCUACGGGAGGCAGCAGUGAGGAAUAUUGGUCAAUGGGCGAGAGCCUGAACCAGCCAAGUCGCGUGAGGGAGUACUGCCCUAUGGGUUGUAAACCUCUUUUGUCGGGGAGCAAAAGCCGGACGUGUCCGGCUGUGAGAGUACCCGAAGAAAAAGCAUCGGCUAACUCCGUGCCAGCAGCCGCGGUAAUACGGAGGAUGCGAGCGUUAUCCGGAUUUAUUGGGUAUAAAGGGUGCGCAGGCGGAUUUUUAAGUCAGCGGUCAAAUCGUGGGGCUCAACCCCAUCCAGCCGUCGAAACUGGGGAUCUAGAGUGUGCGAGAGGUAUGCGGAAUGCGUGGUGUAGCGGUGAAAUGCAUAGAUAUCACGCAGAACCCCGAUUGCGAAGGCAGCAUACCGGUGCACAACUGACGCUCAGGCACGAAAGCGUGGGUAUCGAACAGGAUUAGAUACCCUGGUAGUCCACGCAGUAAACGAUGAAUGCUACCU
rnacentral:rRNA from 1 species